rnacentral:lncRNA from 1 species
AGAAUGCAACGGGUAUAUUAGUGACGUGGCGUAACAAACCAAUCAAAUUAAUCCUUUUAAGAAUAUAUGUCUCAUCAUGAUUGUAAAAAAGUAUUUUUAUUGUACUUUUGUUUGAAAAGAAGGAAUGUGAUUGGCUUGUUAUUGAUGACGUGGUGCAAGUGUGACAGUAUAGAAUUCCUCCUGGAAUUAUGGGAGCAAACAAACAAGGAGCAAUAAAGGCGUUUGGUGUGUAACGUUGUCCUUUUAUAAAGAAAGUCUUUA